GUCGAACGGGAAUAGGAUGAAACCUAGUGAUUCCUAUUCCAGUGGCGGACGGGUGAGUAACGCGUGGGUAACCUGCCUUGCACUGGGGGAUAACACUUAGAAAUAGGUGCUAAUACCGCAUAAGCGCACAGAACCGCAUGGUUCGGUGUGAAAAACUCCGGUGGUGUAAGAUGGACCCGCGUCUGAUUAGCUGGUUGGUGAGGUAACGGCUCACCAAGGCGACGAUCAGUAGCCGGCCUGAGAGGGUGAACGGCCACAUUGGGACUGAGACACGGCCCAAACUCCUACGGGAGGCAGCAGUGGGGAAUAUUGCACAAUGGGGGAAACCCUGAUGCAGCAACGCCGCGUGAGUGAAGAAGUCAUUCGUGAUGUAAAGCUCUAUCAGCAGGGAAGAAAAUGACGGUACCUGACUAAGAAGCCCCGGCUAACUACGUGCCAGCAGCCGCGGUAAUACGUAGGGGGCAAGCGUUAUCCGGAUUUACUGGGUGUAAAGGGAGCGUAGACGGCACAGCAAGUCAGAAGUGAAAGCCCGGGGCUCAACUCCGGGACUGCUUUUGAAACUGUUGGGCUGGAGUGCAGGAGAGGUAAGCGGAAUUCCUAGUGUAGCGGUGAAAUGCGUAGAUAUUUGGGGGAACACCAGUGGCGAAGGCGGCUUACUGGACUGUAACU
rnacentral:rRNA from 1 species